CGAGUUUCUCACUGUUUGCUUCUCUUUUUUUGUUUAUAUACAAAAAAAUAUAGAGGAGUGAAGAGUGAGAAAUGUCGGCGAGCGGCGGACGGCUGAGUAACGCGUAGGAAUUUGCCCCUUAGUGUGGAAUAGCUCACCGAAAGGUGUGGUAAUACCGCAUAGUCUGGUCUUUUUGAUCAGUAAAGGACGUAACUGUUCGCUAAGGGAUAAGCCUGCGUCCUAUCAGGUAGUUGGUGAGGUAACGGCUCACCAAGCCAAUGACGGGUAGCUGGUCUCAUGAGGACGACCAGCCAGAGGGGGACUGAGACACGGCCCCCACUCCUACGGGAGGCAGCAAUUAGGAAUAGUCGGCAAUGGAGGAAACUCUGACCGCGCGACACCGCGUGUAGGAUGAAGUUCUAACGAGCGUAAACUACUGUUGUAUGGGAAAAAGGCGCAAGCUUGAUGGUACCAUACUAGAAAGGGGCCGCUAACUGCGUGCCAGAAGCGUCGGUAAGACGUGGGCCCCAAGCGUUAUCCGGUGUAACUGGGCAUAAAGUGUCACGUAGGCGGCUACGUAAGUUACCUUUUAAAUUUCACGGCUCAACUGUGAAACUGGGGGUAAUACUCCGUAGCUAGAGUUUUGUAUGAGGGUAAAUGGAAUUGUGGGAGGAGUAGUGAAAUGCGUUGAUACUCUCGGGAACACUAGUGGCGAAGGCGAAUCGCUGGAAGAAGAUUGACACUGAGGCACGAAAGCUAGGGGAGCGAAGCAGAUUAGAGACCUGCGUAGUCCUAGCCCUAAACGAAUGUCUGCUAGCUGCAUGAUUUACUCGAUUUAUCGAAUUCUUCGUGUGGCGAAGGUAACCCGUUAAGCAGACCGCCUGGGGAGUACGGUCGCAAGGCUAAAACUCAAAUGAAUUGACGGGGGCUCACACAAGCGGUGGAGCAUGUUGCUUAAUUCGAGGCAACGCGAAGAACCUUACCUGGGUUUGACAUGCACAGGACGCCGGCAGAGAUGUCGGUUCCCUUGUGGCCUGUGUGCAGGUGGUGCAUGGCUGUCGUCAGCUCGUGUCGUGAGAUGUUGGGUUAAGUCCCGCAACGAGCGCAACCCUUGUCUCAUGUU
rnacentral:rRNA from 1 species